CCUACGGGUGGCAGCAGUGAGGAAUAUUGGUCAAUGGACGAGAGUCUGAACCAGCCAAGUAGCGUGAGGGAUGACUGCCCUAUGGGUUGUAAACUUCUUUUAUAUGGGGAUAAAACACGUUAUGCGUACCGUCUUGUAUGUACCAUACGAAUAAGCAUCGGCUAACUCCGUGCCAGCAGCCGCGGUAAUACGGAGGAUCCGAGCGUUAUCCGGAUUUAUUGGGUUUAAAGGGUGCGUAGGUGGAUUUUUAAGUCAGUUGUGAAAGUUUGCGGCUCAAACGUAAAAAUGCAGUUGAAACUGGAAGUCUAGAGUACAGUCGAGGUAGGCGGAAUACGUGGUGUAGCGGUGAAAUGCAUAGAUAUAACGAAGAACACCGAUUGCGAAGGCAGCUCACUGGACUGCAACUGACACUGAUGCUCGAAAGUGUGGGUAUCAAACAGGAUUAGAUACCCGUGUAGUC
rnacentral:rRNA from 1 species